rnacentral:rRNA from 1 species
UACAGAGGGUGCGAGCGUUAAUCGGAAUUACUGGGCGUAAAGCGUGCGUAGACGGUUAUUUAAGUCGGAUGUGAAAGCCCCGGGCUCAACCUGGGAAUUGCAUUCGAGACUGAAUAGCUAGGGUGCGGUAGAGGGAAGCGGAAUUUCCGGUGUAGCGGUGAAAUGCGUAGAUAUCGGAAGGAACAUCAGCGGCGAAAGCGGCUUCCUGGACCAGCACCGACGUUCAGGCACGAAAGCGUGGGGAGCAAACAGG